GGGUCAGUAGGUUGGUCGUGCCACCGGUACGUACUGGUCUCACUGACUCCUCCUUCCUGAAGAACCGUAAUGCCAUUAAUUUGGUGUUGCGGGGAAACAGGACUGUUACUUUGGAAAAAUUAGAGUGUUUAAAGCAAGCUAACGCUUGAAUACAUUAGCAUGGAUAAUGAAAUAGGACGAUCGAUCCUAUUUUGUUGGUUUCUAGGAUUGACGUA
rnacentral:rRNA from 1 species